rnacentral:rRNA from 1 species
UACGUAGGGUGCGAGCGUUAAUCGGAAUUACUGGGCGUAAAGUGUGCGCAGGCGGCGCCGCAAGUCGAGUGUGAAAGCCCCGGGCUUAACUUGGGAAUUGCGCUCGAAACUAUGGUGCUGGAGUGUGGCAGAGGAAGGUGGAAUUCCACGUGUAGCGGUGAAAUGCGUAGAGAUGUGGAGGAACACCGGUGGCGAAGGCGGCAUCCUGGACCGGUAUUGACGCUGAGGAGCGAAAGCCAGGGGAGCAAACGGG